AGCAGGUAAGAACAGCUCACCUCUCAAAACCAAAGAUGAAUAAAAUACAAGUGAGCUUUGACAAUUCAAGUAUAUUUUUAACUGGAUUUUCAGAGAACCCUUGAAACCCCCAUAUGUAAUAUGAAAUGUAAUUACUGCAGUAGUUAAACUGACCUGAAUGGACUUUAGUUUUUUACUUACGGAUCUCUGGUUGAUUUUUUUCCCCCCUGUGUGGUGUGGAAUCCAGUGGUGACACUACAUAGUCUCAUGUUGCUUUCAUCACUUUUUUCAGAGUCCCAGAGAGGUAGCACAUAGGACCCAUGGUUGAAAAUCCUGAAUACAAAGUUCUCUGAGUAAGAAAUUAGGAAUGGAUGAAACUGUGUUUAGUUGAAUUGAAACUCAGCCUUGAAAUUUCUUUUUUGGUUUCUUAAGUUUAAGUUUUGCUUUUUAUAUGUAUAAUUUGAUUGACAUAUUAUUCUUGUCUUCAUAUUGUCCCUUUUUUGUUAAUGAAUUGAACUUUUGCUCUAUUCUGAAUAUUUUCUAGUCAUUGUGACGAAGUACUCUCCCCUGAGUGGGCUCAGAUACCUUACUGCAGUUUCCUGUUGUAGUCUCAAACUUAAGAAUCUGUAGAAGUUUAUGUAGGAAAUACUCAUUUCAUUGUCACUUCUGUGUCUUUGAAAACACAUACAAAAAUGUAUUGUGGAAGGAUAAUAGACAUGAGGGAACUGCUUUUCCUAUAAAUCUCUUCAUGGUAUUAUUGGACAGUUAUUUUGUCCCUGUGAGUAAUUUGAAUCCCGUCCCUUGAAAACCACAGAUAGAUUUCUUGGUAACAACGGAGAGAGAUUUUUCACUUCCAUCAUGUCCCAGUACAUUCCUUCACAGUUAAGAAAAUUGUUCCUGGUUUUGGGCUGAUCUUCAGAAAUGCUAACUGAAACCUGUGGAUAAAACUUCCUCUAAGCCAUCUAAAGAGAGUUGAAAACUGAACGUGUUAGGCUAAGAGUAGAGGCCUAAGUGACCUUGUCAUCCUAAAAAUUUUAUUGAUUCUAAUUCUUUUCUAGGCUCUGAAGCUUAAAAGCAAAAUAAGCACAGGUAUUUACAAAUGUUAAAGGUGCUGACUAAAAGCAUAAGAGGUAUUAAAAUCCUGAAUGUAUGCUUAGACAGAAGGUAAUUUUUUUUUAAUCUGUGGGAAAACCCAUGGACAGGAGCAGUAUCUUGGUGGGCGAUUUUUCUUAUUCUGUGAAAACUAUUAUUCCUUCUUGCAUAUAUAUCAUUAAGAUUUGUAGCUGCUAAAUAUCUUUUACCUAUUCUAAUAACUUAAAAUUGUCUGCUAAUCCUUGCUCUCAGAUUCCUAACUGAUCAAAAUUAAUGCACCCAGUAAGGCAAGACUGACUGAAAACAUUAAAAAAGCCGGGGUGGGGGGGAAGGACAAAAAAAGAAAAAAAGGGAAGCAUUUUGAAACUCCUGUAAACAAAAGAAAAAUGUUGCAACCUUUUGUUUUGAAAUAUAUAUUCAGAAUUAAACACUGAGAAUAAUGUGUGAUAAAUGUCACGGGUAUUUUUGAGCACAGUGAAAUAGCAAAUGCAAUUUGAAAAGACAGAGCAGAGAAUAGAAAAUAUUUUCUGCAUGAUUCACAGAUCAGUUCCUGCUAAAGUAAUAAAUUCAUUGAUUAGCACCUGCUUAUUAUAUUUCAAGUAGACUAGAGGGACUUAAAAUACCACAGUCAUUACCAGAAAUCUGGAAGAAUAGAUUUAAACAAGGUUAAAAGAUAAAAGAAACCCUGUAAACAGGGCUAGAACAGAACAGAGUGGUGGAUGAAUGAAUAGGUGGGGGAGGCCUUAGCAUGAAAUUAAAAUAAAUCAUGAUGUAAUGUCCUUGGGGCCAGAGUUGUGCAAGCCAUUUUUUUAAAUUCUGUAGAACUAGAUUGUAGAAAAAAGCAGUACAAAUGAAAACAUCAGCAAACAAUAUUUCUAGUGAAUAGCUGGGAUACAGAUGAUUUUUCAGUUUAGCCAACAUUACCAGAUAUGUCACAGUCUUCUAUAUCUGAAAACUUGAAUUUUGAUAUUGCUAUGAUGCUAUUUAACAGUAUGUCAAUAGUGUGAUGGAAAAUAAAAUCUUCAAAUUAAUAUUUCAAAAUCAACAUUAAAAUGCACAUUUAAUUUUUCUGCUCUUUGAAUACAGAAGAUCAUUAAAUAAAAACCAAUACGUCUACAUUUUCAGACAGGCGAAACAUUGUGUGUCAGUGGUAAAUACAUAGCCCAGAUGGUAUUUGUCAUCCAGAAAACUGUAAUUCUCCAUUCUGCACGAGCAAUUCUUGUUUCUUAAUUUAUGGGAGAGCUGAAGGUCUUGUAACUUCCAUACAAGGAGAACUUGCAUAAGAAGACUACAGGAUUUGUUGCUAAGGGGCAUUGUAAGCUAUAGAAUGUAGAAUGUUUAAGACAAAAGCACAAGAGCAGAGGUUAGCAUGAGGAGUACUGGUGUUUUCAGUUGAGCUAACCCAAUCUUUAUUUACUUAUGAUAAAUCUGUUAGAAAAUUCCUCAAGCAAUACAGUAUCAAACUGAGGAUCCAUGAUUGCCAACUUUGUGAGUGUGGACAGUCAUAAACCAGUUCUUGACCCAGUGGAUUUUCCAGAUGAAGUAGGUUGAUUUAGCUACUUUGCAUCUGAUCAUUCUCGGAUACUGAAAGCAUUUAACUAAUCCUUUAGUUUAAUUUUACUCUUUUAUAAGAUUAGAGAAACCUAUUUCCUCCUUGAAGCAGUAUGAGCAAUAACUAGAGCAGUUUUGGGAAUAUGGGAAGAAAGUACCUCUGCCUUUAUUCUAGUAGUUGGAAGACUUUGGGGACUGUUUUGGUAGGACUUCUUUGCAAAUGUAACUAAAUAGAGCCUUUAAAAUAUGAGCUGUUAAAACAUUAAUUUUCACAUUUUCAUACCCAUUUUAAAAUCAGGAGACUAAUAUCUUUAUUUCUUUGGUUUUCAGAAUUAGUUAUUAUGUAUUAGCUCCUAUGUAUUUAGCAGUACUCUAGAUAUUUUGAAACAGAGGCAUUUUUCCUCUUGUGCAAUGAAUGGGGAGGUGCCUUUGUCAGUAGUGAGACAGCUGUGAGUGCUCAAGUUAAGUGUUUGCAUGUGCAGAUAGAAGCAUAAAGAUAUAGGGUCUUAUUUUUUCCACACUGCUGAGCAUCCCUCGAAAAAGCGUGGAACCUGGUGUUUUUAUUGUAUGAACUGAACAUUUGUAAAAUUAGCCACCUUAUUAGAUAUCUAAUUAUUAAUUUCAGUGCUUAGUUUUAAUAAUUGGCACUUGUACUGUUUGAUAAUGGCUGUUUUCAACAUAGUAAUCUCUGGAGACACUGAAAGUAACCCAAAACAUAGGCAAUCAGGCAAAGUGGUAUAUCAGCACAAUCCUGCUGAGCCAUGUUAGAUAAAGCAAUUGAAAACAAAGAAAUACUUAUUAAAGCUGGGCAUGUAAUGGCCUUAAAUAUUUAUACAAAUAUUCAGCUGAGAAGGUCACUUUCUUGCUGUAAUGAUUCUGAAAAUUAUUGUGGUGAGUGUGCCAGGUAUUAAGUGUUACUAGCAUAUGAGUAUAUUUGCAUACCCAAUCACCAUACAUGAAAUGCAAUAAACUAGAAGUGCACGUUAGAUAUUAAAAAAACAAAUUAAAAUUCACAGCAAAUAAAUUUUAAAUUCUACCGGAGACUCCACAACCUCCCUGGACAACCUGCUCCAGUGCUCACAGGAAAGAAGUUCUUCUUCAUGUUUUAUUGUAACUUCCUGUGCAUCAGUUUUUACCCAUUGCCUCUUGUCCUAUUGCUUGGCACCACCAAGGAGAUCAUCUUGACACCCUUCCUUCAGAUGCUGACAGAGAGUGAUGAAAUCCCCUUUCAGUCAUCUCUUCUUGAGACUGAACAGGCCCAGCUCACUCAGCCUUUUGUCAAAAGAGAGAGCCUCCAGACCUUUAACCAACUUAGUAGCUCUCUAAUUCUCAGGAUCACAUUUCAUCUCCUUCAUUCUGCAUGGCUUUUUUUUUUUCUUUUUCUUUUUUUUUUUUUUAAUCCUAAGAGAGCUCCUGCAAGUUAUUUAUCCCUAAAUCACAGUUUAAGAAGAAACAUCUUAGAUUUCUCUUAUUCUGUACCUUUGGCCAUCAUCUUGCAACCCUUGUCUUUCAUGUUUCCUCUGUUACAGACCAUACUUAAUUUUUUUGAGUUACUGAACUUCUUCUAUGGUUUUUUUUCAGUAAAUGUGUAGGUCUGUCUUUUAUAACACAACAUGGGGCUGCAAUAAAAAUAUUGCUUAUCAGGCAAAAGGAUAUUCCACUAUCCCUUAUAGUAAGAAAAAGUUUCUAUUGGCUUGAAGGAAUGUAAUAGGUUAAAAGAUUCUGUAACUAUGUAUUUAACUUAAUUAAUCCUUUUUAAGGAUUUGUUUUAAUUCAGUCCUUUUUGCAUACGAAUUGGAAUUUGGGGUUCAGUGCCUUUUUCUGAUGAUGUGCUGGAGGAGGGAGUAGUAGGAAGAGAGAGAAUAUAGCUAUCAGACACCAGAAAGUCUUUAUUUGGCUUGUACAAAGUGAU